CAGCCGGGUGUUAGAGAUGGCAAGGGUUGCUGUCAAAGGGUGGGGAAAUGUCCCGCGCAGACGAGCAUUGAGAACUAGCUGAGCUGUGGUAGAGCUGUCGGUGGGCCACACAAGGGGACCCUUGGGAAGGUAAAAGAAAGAGAAGGCGCCCAAACCCACCAAGAAGCCCAAGGAAAAGGCACCCAAGGGCUCCAAGAAAGACAAGGAGAAAGUGCCCAAACCCACCAAGAAACCCAAGGAGAAACUACCUAAGGGCUCCAAGAAGCCCAAAGAGAAAGCUCCCAAGCCCACCAAAAAACCCAAGGAGAAGCCUCCCAAAGCCACCAAAAAGCCAUCAGGAAAGAAAAAGCCGGAGGCAACACCCCCUGUCCAACCUGAGAAGGAAGAGAAGGACAGGUAUUACCAGCCUGAGGAUCCCUUGUUCCCUCCCCCUGCCAGAGAGGAAGAUGACUACGGGGUGGCCGAGCCCUCCAGGCUCCCCUCACCAUAUGAGGAGGAGGAGGAGAGAUCCCGGGUGUAUGGGGAACGGGACAAAGAUGAAUAUGGGAAGCCUUCAACCGAGCCAUGGGAACCCGACCACGAGGACUGGAAGCCAGAGCCCUACCCCAGUGAGAACAAGCUGGCUGCAGGGGGCCCAUCCUGGGCACCUGAUUUCUAGUCCCCUGGUUCCCUACUCUCUUCCCUUUGCCUGCAUCCCUAUGGACCUUUGGCCCCUGGAGCCCUCAUCCCCAGGAUCUCCCCAGCCCAGGGAUGCUCUUCAUGCAGUUUGGAUGGUGGCAGCAGCCAAGCAGAGAUCUUGCUGUCUUUCUUUCUGUCUGCAGCAGUAGUCACCAACCAAUCAGUCGCAAUCAACUGGUUGAUCGUGGAGCCUCUGAUAGUUGAUCUCAGUGUGGGGGCUCUGGGACAGGCAGGCCACCACAGCAUUGCCAUAGUGACAAGAUGCAGGGCAAUAGGUCCCCCAGACUGAGAUUGACUGGUGCAAGAUUGAGGCUAGGUGGUACACAAGUUACUAAUCAGAGCCUGCGGGGCUUGUCAAGGCAUGUGGGGGCUCCCACUGCUGCACACACCCUGGCAGAGGUGUGCAAAGCUGAGGUGGCUGCCACUGUAUGCUGGACUUUGUGCCCUGAGUCCCGCUGCAGUUGCCCUAGGAGUGUCACUAUGCCAUGUUUGUCCCGCUGCUGGGCUGAGCUCCUGGGGCAGUCAUGUCCACCUCAUGUACGGAUCAGGAAGGGGGGCACGUGCCCCCUGGGACUCUGCCAGGAUACGUGCAGCAGCAGGAGCCCCCCUGCACCUGGAUGUGCUGUCUGGGCUUUGAUUGUCCCACCACCCAGCCCAGCAGAGUCCCUACUCCCUCCCUCACUGUGGAGGCCUUGGUAUGCUUCCCACCCCCACAGACUGACCAGCUGGGCACAGGGCAGGGGGUGCGGGUGGUAGAUCCUGGGUUGAAUUUCAAAAAAUUCAAAAAAUGGACUUCUGCUUAAAAAGAUUGGAGACCACUGGCUGCAGUGACAAAUGCACUGUCCUAACUUGCCCCCUGCUUUGCUCCAU